AACACUGAUGAUCAAAAAUUAAAUUUACAAACUAGAGUUUCUGAAUUAUUUUUUCGUGAUUAGAAACUAAUCGCAUUGUCUGAGG
rnacentral:snoRNA from 1 species